rnacentral:rRNA from 1 species
AGUGAACGCUGGCGGCAUGCCUAACACAUGCAAGUCGAACGGCAGCACAGUAAGAGCUUGCUCCUACGGGUGGCGAGUGGCGGACGGGUGACGAAUACAUCGGAUUCCUCUCUUUCGUGGGUGAUAACGUAGGGAAACUUAUGCUAACACCGCAUAUGUCGUACGGGUGAAAGCAGGGGAUCUUCGGACUUUGUGCGAUGGAAUGAGCCGAUGUCGGAUUAGCUAGUUGGCUGGGUAAAGGCCCACCAAGGCGACGCUGCGUAGCUGGUCUGAGCGGAUGAUCAGCCACACGGGAACUGAGACACGGUCCAGACUCCUACGGGAGGCAGCAGUGGGGAAUAUUGCGCAAUGGGCGAGAGCCUGAUCCAGCAAUACCGCGUGAGUGAUGAAGGACUUCGGGUUGUAAAGCCCUUUUGUUGGGAAAGAAAAGAAGCAGGUUUAUACCCGACGGUACUGACGGUACCCAAAGAAUAAGCACCGGCUAACUUCGUG